AAAUUUUUGGUUAAGUUACUAAGGGCACACGGUGGAUGCCUUGGCACAAGAAGACGAUGAAGGACGCGGCUACCUGCGAUAAGCCACGGUGAGGUGGAAGCAACCUAAGACCCGUGGAUCUCCGAAUGGGGAAACCCUACCAUCUUAAUAGAUGGUAACUACCAGCUGAAUACAUAGGCUGGUUAGAGACAACCCAGGGAAGUGAAACAUCUCAGUACCUGGAGGAAAAGAAAACAAUAGUGAUUCCCUGAGUAGUGGCGAGCGAAAGGGGAAAAACUUGCCUAAACCGAUUGACACGUAAAAGCCUGCAAGCGUUGUGUCAGUCGGGGUAGUGGGAAUUAUCCAGACCGAAUUGCAGUAAGGUCGGAGAGUCAAAAACCGAAAAAUUAGCCGAAUUACUUGGAAAAGUAAACCAUAGAGAGUGAAAGUCUCGUAGGCGAAAAUUUUUCGGCUCUCUGGGAUAAUCUCCCGAGUACCACGGAAUAAGUGGAAGUCUGUGGGAAUCUGCCAGAACCAUCUGGUAAGGCUAAAUACUCUCUUGUGACCGAUAGUGAACCAGUACCGUGAGGGAAAGGUGAAAAGCACCCUUAAGAAGGGAGUGAAAUAGAACCUGAAACCGUGUGCUUACAAACGGUCGGAGUCCAUUUAUAAUGGAUGACGACGUGCCUUCUGGAUAAUGAGCCAACGAGUUGCUCGUGCGUUGCAAGGUUAAUCCGCUUAGCGGAGUAGCCGGAGCGAAAGCGAGUCCGAAUAGGGCGUUAAGUAACGCGCGGCAGACGCGAAACCGGGUGAUCUACCGUUGGCCAGGAUGAAGUGGCGGUAACACGCCAUGGAGGUCCGAACCGAUGUGGGUUGAAAACCGCUCGGAUGAGCUGACGGUAGGAGCGAAAGACCAAUCAAACUCGGUGAUAGCUCGUACUCCCCGAAAUAGCUUUAGGGCUAGCCUCGUAGUAUAGUGUCAUGGAGGUAGAGCACUGAUUGGGCUAGGGCCGUCACAACGGUACCAAACCCAGACAAACUCCGAAUUCCAUUGACAUGUUCUACGGGAGUCAGGCAGUGAGGGAUAAGCUCCAUUGCCAAAAGGGAAACAACCCAGAUCGCCAGCUAAGGUCCCCAAAUACCAGUUAACAGAGAAAGGAUGUUGAGUUGCUCAGACAACUAGGAUGUUGGCUUAGAAGCAGCCAUUCAUUUAAAGAGUGCGUAAUAGCUCACUAGUCAAGCGACUCGGCGUCGACAAUUCUCGGGACUCAAACUGGUUACCGAAGCUGCGAAUCCCGAUUAAUUCGGGGUGGUAGGGGAGCAUUCUAUGUAGGAACCACGAAGUGGUAUCCCGACUUUGUCGGGAUGAAGGUGCGGCGUGAGCCGUGCUGGACUGCAUAGAAAAGCAAAUGUUGGCAUAAGUAACGAUAAGGUCGAUGAAAAAUCGGCCCACCGAAAGUCUAAGGUUUCCUGAGCAACGUUAAUCGUCUCAGGGUUAGUCGGACCCUAAGCCGAGGCUGAAAGGCGUAGGUGAUGGGAAACAGGUUAAUAUUCCUGUACCUGGUGAAUUUCGUUUGACUCUAAGGGGUGACGCAGGAGUGAAAGGUCAGCCACCUGCCGGCCUUAGGUGGUCUAAGCGGGUAGAUGGAGGAUGUAGGUAAAUCCGCAUCCUCGUUAACAUCGAGACGCGACGGGGAGUCCGUAAGGACACAAACUGACCCUAAUCACACUGCCAAGAAAAACCUCGUAGAGGAGAGAUUCAUCAGUCCGUACCGCAAACCGACACAGGUAGACGGGAUGAGUAUUCUAAGGUGCUCGAGUGAGCCGUGGUUAAGGAACUCGGCAAAUUGACCCCGUAACUUCGGGAUAAGGGGUGCCCUAAGUAGGUAACAAUCCUCGCGGUUGGAGCCGAACAGGGUCGCAGUGAAAUGGGCCAAGCGACUGUUUAUCAAAAACACAGGUCUCUGCGAAGUCAAUUAAGACGACGUAUAGGGACUGACACCUGCCCGGUGCUGGAAGGUUAAGGGGAUGGGUUAUCUCUCCGAGCGAUCGGAGGGAGAAGCUCUGAACCGAAGCCCCAGUAAACGGCGGCCGUAACUAUAACGGUCCUAAGGUAGCGAAAUUCCUUGUCGGGUAAGUUCCGACCUGCACGAAUGGUGUAACGACUUGGUCACUGUCUCAACCACGGGCUCGGUGAAAUUGUGGUACCGGUGAAGACGCCGGUUACCCGCAUAUGGACGGAAAGACCCCGUGCACCUUUACUGCACCCUAGCAUUGGGUUCGAGUAAGGCAUGUGUAGGAUAGGUGGGAGACUAUGAAGCCUCGACGCUAGUCGGGGUGGAGUCGACGGUGAAAUACCACCCUUGUCUUAUUUGAAUUCUAACCUCGAUCCUUGAAUCAGGGUCAGGGACAGUGUUAGGCGGGUAGUUUGACUGGGGCGGUCGCCUCCUAAAUGGUAACGGAGGCUCCCAAAGGUACCCUCAGCACGGUCGGUAAUCGUGCGUCGAGUGUAAAGGCAUAAGGGUGCUUAACUGCGAGACCUACAAGUCGAGCAGGUGCGAAAGCAGGGCUUAGUGAUCCGACGGUUGCGAAUGGAAGCGCCGUCGCUCAAAGGAUAAAAGGUACGCCGGGGAUAACAGGCUGAUCUUGCCCAAGAGUUCACAUCGACGGCAAGGUUUGGCACCUCGAUGUCGGCUCAUCGCAUCCUGGGGCUGAAGAAGGUCCCAAGGGUUUGGCUGUUCGCCAAUUAAAGCGGUACGUGAGCUGGGUUCAGAACGUCGUGAGACAGUUCGGUCCCUAUCCUAUGCGGGCGCAGGAUGUUUGAGAAGAGUCGCUCUUAGUACGAGAGGACCGGAGCGAACGAACCUCUAGUGUACCAGUUGUCACGCCAGUGGCAGCGCUGGGUAGCUAUGUUCGGACGUGAUAAGCGCUGAAAGCAUCUAAGCGCGAAACACUCUUCAAGAUGAGACAUCCCUCUCCGAUUAUUCGGAGCUAAAGACCCCUGGGAGAUUACCAGGUUGAUAGGCUGCAGGUGUAAGCCCAGUAAUGGGUUAAGCCGAGCAGUACUAAUAGGUCGUGAGACUUAACCGUUUAU
rnacentral:rRNA from 1 species